GGCAGCAAAGUCAUACAAAACUCAAAACGAUAAGCUCGUCGGUUCGCCGUCUCUGCUUGGCGAAUCAUAUUAGUUGGACCAACAUCAAUUGCCGGCAAUAAAAAAAACAUCAAUUGCCGAAGAAGCAAUCACUGAUCACUCUUCAAGGUUCGAAGCUUUCCCUUACUUCUGGAGAGAAAAGCCUCCACGGACCACGGCUUCAGAAGCUGCUUUCAUGGAGUCGUCGCUGGUGGAGGAGCGGCGGCAAAACCUGCUGGUGCGCGCGACGGAGCCUGAGGAUCUUGCCAGGUACACAGGUGAUGGGUCAGUUGACUUUAGAGGUUUUCCUAUUUUAAAGCAUAACACAGGGAACUGGAGAGCAUGUUCAUUGAUUCUUGGAACUGAAGUUUGUGAACGUUUGGCCUACUAUGGAAUCUCAAAAAGUUUGGUCACUUACCUUUCAACAAGACUACAUGAAGGAAACGUUUCUGCUGCCAGGAACUUCACAACCUGGCAAGGAACUUGUUAUCUUACACCACUUAUUGGAGCAACCUUAGCAGAUUCGUACUGGGGAAAGUACAGGACUAUUGCUGUUUUCUCCACUAUUUACUUUCUUGUAAGACACGAAUGUGCAUUUACCUCAAGAUACCUGUAGUUGUGCCUUUGUGUAUUAAUUUUUAGGGAAGUUAAUGUAUUAAGUGCCCUAAAAUUGUAGUAUGUUGUUUUGCAUUGGUAUUUACCUAUUGGUUGUCAAUUAAAGAAAGAUUGGAUAAAUGUUCACAUAUAGCUUUUCUGCUAUGACAUAAGCAACUUCAUAAUUGUUGUGAGCAUUUACUGGCAUGAUAGUUCAUUGAAAACAUGCAUGAUGCGUCAAUUGCAGACCUACUUGUGUUUCUCUACCUGCCAAUUAUGAAUCUUUUAUCCUUCUUAAGCAAUCAUUCCUGCAGAUAUUCUGUGCCAAGUGCUAAUGACUUUUUAAUGUGCAUUCAAUGAAGGGGAUGUCGGCAUUGACACUUUCAGCAUCAGUUCCUUCUUUCCAGCCCCCUCAAUGUGUUGGGUCUAUUUGUCCACAACCGACCUUAUCACAGUAUCUUUUAUACUUUGUUGGAUUAUACAUGAUUGCUCUGGGAGCUGGUGGUAUAAAGCCGUGUGUUUCAUCCUUUGGGGCUGACCAAUUUGAUGAUACUGAUCCAGUUGAGAAAGCAAAGAAAGGAGCUUUCUUCAAUUGGUUUUAUUUCUGCAUAAAUAUUGGUUCUUUGAUCUCUGGCACAGUUCUUAUUUGGGUACAAGAGAAUUGUGGAUACAGCAUUGGCUUUGGGAUCCCUACUUUUUUCAUUGCCUUGGCUAUUGGAAGCUUUUUUAUAGGUUCAGAUAUAUAUAGGUUUCAGAUACCGGGAGGAAGCCCACUUACAAGAGCAUGCCAGGUAGUUGUGGCAGCCACUCACAAGCGAAAAACAGAUUUGCCGGUUGACAGUUCUCUUCUCUAUGAGCUAGAUGGUAAGACUUCAGCUAUUGAGGGGAGUCGUAAGCUGGAGCACAGUAGUGAAUUCAGGUAUUUUUCUUGGUUAUCAGUGACAAUUAUUUUCCCUGUAAGAUAUAUCCUUUUACUCAACAAAGGAGAAAGGCAUUGAGAAGUUGUGGUUUAGGUUACAUGUUUGGGGAAAACAAAUAUUCAAAAAUAAAAGUUUACUGAAAUGUAUCAAAUACAGAUAUUCAUUUAUACUGCACUUUUGUUCUGACAUUGCAUGCUUUUAAGCUUGUGUCUUGGAACUUCCUGGACACAGCAACCUUUUUUCAGAACUAUGAAAGUUUCCUUGACAAAGCGGCAGUCAUUUUGUGGAAUGAAUGUGAUGGUCCUCGCAAUUCAUGGAGACUUUGCACAGUCACACAAGUUGAAGAGCUUAAAAUACUACUGAGGAUGUUUCCAAUCUGGGCAACAGGAAUUGUGUUCUUCACCGUAUGUGCUCAAAACUCAUCGAUGUUCAUAGAACAGGGGAUGACCCUCGAUAACCAAAUUGGUCCAUUCAAGAUUCCAGCAGCAACUCUGUCGUCCCUAGAUGUUAUCAGUGUUGUCGUUUGGGUUCCAAUUUAUGAGAGGUUAGUUGUGCCCAUAGCCAGGAGAUUCAGUGGGAAAGAGAGAGGUUUCUCAGAACUUCAACGGAUGGGGAUCGGUCUAUUUGUGUCUACAGUCGCAGUGGCAGUUGCAGCGCUAGUCGAGAUCAAUCGUCUACAGGUGGCAGUGGCAGAGGACCUGGUUCAUCAGAAGGUACCUGUUCCUAUGAGCAUCCUUUGGCAAGCGCCUCAGUAUUUGCUGGUCGGUGUGGGCGAGGUGUUCACAUCAAUUGGUCAAGCUGAGUUUUUCUACAAUCAGUCACCAGAUGCCAUGAGAAGCUUAUGCUCAGCUUUCGCUCUCGUUACCGUGUCACUUGGAAGUUAUCUCAGCUCAUUCAUCUUAAGCCUGGUGUCAUAUUUCACAACUCGGAAUGGGCAAUUGGGGUGGAUCCCUGAUAACUUGAACGAAGGCCAUCUUGACCGCUUUUUCUGGCUGAUAGCCGGUCUCAGCUCACUAAAUUUCCUUGUUUUUAUAUAUUACGCUCAACAAUACAAGUGCAAGAUAGCUUCUGUUGCUUAAAGUUCCUUCUCCACUUUGCAAUUUACUUGUACAGCAAAGCUCAAUGUACAAUUUGUUUAUGCUGAAAUACUACAGUGCGUACAUAAUCUCAUGUGUCGUGUACUGUGUA